rnacentral:sRNA from 1 species
AAAUAAACCUGAUAAAGCGUAAAGCCCGCAUCCCGAUUUUUCAUCGGGAGAGGACUUGAAGCGAUAGCAGGACUGCUA